ensembl:lncRNA
AAGGGCGAGGGCAUGGGGGUGACGACGUCACCGCUCCGAGGCCACCGGUGGAGGAGCAGCGGGGACGUCACAGCUCUGGCCGGACUGACGGGAACGAUGAUGUCACCGCGGCGGCGGCGCUGAUGGAGGGGGAACGGUGACGCCGCGACUGCGGACUUGCCGGCGGAAGGGGGAUGAUGUCGCGCCUACGACGUCACCGAUGGGGCAAUGGCGAUGUCACAGCUAUGAUGUCAUUAAUGGAAUGAUGAUGCCGCAGCUACGGGCUCACUCGUGCUGGGGACGCGGUGGCGUCGCGACUACGAUGUCACCGACGGCGGCGGAAUGGUGACGUCACAGCUGUGACGUCACUGAUGGGGUGGGCAUGAUGUCACAGCCAUGGUGACGUCUUGGAGGGGGGGCGGGGUGACCUGUGCGGGCCGGUGACGUCACGGGUGGGGGCCUGCCAGGGCGGUGACGUCACCAGGCUCCGCCCCAAAGAGCGCGGCUGCGCGGGAGGGGGCCCAGGCGUCCGGCCCUGCGCCGGGCUCCGGUUUUCUCUCUUUAUCGCCGGCGGGGGGGCGGGGGGGGCCCAGGCGUCCGGGCGCAGGUGGCCCCGGCCGGACCUGGGGGCUCCCGAUAAGCCUUAUCGCCCCCCCCCCCCCGCGGCGCGCACGGGGCCCAGGCGUCCGGGCGGCGGAGCCGGCGGCUUCUUUAUUAUCAAAAGUAAACAAAAGCCCCAAACGAGGAAAAUUCAGCGCCCCCCUCCCCCCCCCGGUGCCGGUGCGUGGGGAGGGGGGUCCCCAUGUCCCCCCCCCCGGCUGGGGGGCCGUGACGCAUGUCCCCUCUGUCACAGUGUCACGGGGUGUCUGUGUCCCGUGUCCCGUGUCCUCUCCAUGUCCCGGUGUCACAUGGUGUCCCAUGUCCUGUGUCCUUUCCAUGUCCCAGGAUAUCCCUGUCUCGUGUCACACGUCCUCUCCAUGUCACAGGAUGUCCAUGUCCUGGUGUCACAUGGUGUCCCAUGUCCCAUGUCCUUUCCAUGUCACAGGACGUCCGUGUCCUGUGUCACACGUCCUCUCCGUGUCCCCGUGUCAUGGGGUAUCCGUGUCCUGUG